CAAGGCUUGGCAUAUACCGGAAACACCUAGAGAUAGGUGCCCCGCAAGGUCGGUAUACAGGUGGUGCAUGGUUGUCGUCAACUCGUGUCGUGAGAUGUUGGGUUAAGUCCCGCAACGAGCGCAACCCUCGUUCUAUGUUGCCAGCACGUCAUGGUGGGGACUCAUAGGAGACUGCCGGGGUCAACUCGGAGGAAGGUGGGGAUGACGUCAAGUCAUCAUGGCCUUUAUGUCUAGGGCUACACACGUGCUACAAUGGACGGUACAAAGCGCUGCAAACUCGCGAGUGGGAGCUAAUCGCAAAAAACCGUUCUCAGUUCGGAUUGCAGGCUGCAACUCGCCUGCAUGAAGCUGGAAUCGCUAGUAAUGGCAUAUCAGAACGAUGCCGUGAAUACGUUCCC
rnacentral:rRNA from 1 species